CUGGCUCAGAACGAACGCUGGCGGCGCGUCUUAAGCAUGCAAGUCGAACGGCAAGAGGUAGCAAUACCUCCUAGAGUGGCGGACUGGUGAGUAACACGUGGGUGACAUACCCUUCAGAUGGGGAUAGCUAUUAGAAAUAGUAGAUAAUACCGAAUACGAGCACAGGGGUUAGAGAUCUGUGAGGAAAGGAGCUAAGGCUCCGCUGAAGGAAUGGCCUGCGGCCCAUUAGCUAGUUGGUGAGGUAAGAGCCCACCAAGGCGAUGAUGGGUAUCCGGCCUUAGAGGGUGAACGGACACAUUGGGACUGAGAUACGGCCCAGACUCCUACGGGAGGCAGCAGCUAAGAAUAUUCCGCAAUGGACGAAAGUCUGACGGAGCGACGCCGCCGUGGAUGAAGAAGGCCGGAAGGUUGUAAAAUCCUUUUGAAACUGAAGAAUAAGCGUUGUAGGGAAUGACAGCGUGGUGACAGUAGGUUUUGAAUAAGCAACGGCUAAUUACGUGCCAGCCGCCGC
rnacentral:rRNA from 1 species